CACGUAGGGUGCGAGCGUUGUCCGGAUUUAUUGGGCGUAAAGAGCUCGUAGGCGGCUUGGCAAGUCGGGUGUGAAACCUCCAGGCUCAACCUGGAGACGCCACUCGAUACUGCCAUGGCUAGAGUCCGGUAGGGGACCACGGAAUUCCUGGUGUAGCGGUGAAAUGCGCAGAUAUCAGGAGGAACACCGGUGGCGAAGGCGGUGGUCUGGGCCGGCACUGACGCUGAGGAGCGAAAGCGUGGGGAGCGAACAGG
rnacentral:rRNA from 1 species